AAAUUCUUAACGGCCGCGGCACUAAAACCGUGCAAAGGUAGCACAAUCACUUGUCCCUUAAAUGAGGACCCGUAUGAAAGGCAACAUGAGAGAAGACCUGUCUCCUAAGGCCAGCCAAUGAAAUUGAACUGCCAGUACAAAAGCUGGUAUUUACAAGCAAGACAAAAAGACCCUGUGGAA
rnacentral:rRNA from 1 species